rnacentral:rRNA from 1 species
GACGAACGCUGGCGGCGUGCCUAAUACAUGCAAGUAGAACGCAGUUGCGAACGGGUGAGUAACGCGUAGGUAACUGCCUGGUAGCGGGGGAUAACUAUUGGAAACGAUAGCUAAUACCGCAUACUACCAGAUGGACCUGCGUUGUAUUAGCUAGUUGGUGAGGUACAGGCUCACCAAGGCAACGAUACAUAGCCGACCUGGGAGGGUUGUGGGCCACAACGGGACCGGUACACGGGCCAGACUCCUAAGGGGAGGAGGAGUAGGGAAGUUUCGGGAAAUGGGGGAAACCUGACCGAGGAACGCCCGGUGAGGGAAGAAGGUUUUUGGAUCGUUAAGGCCUGUUUGUAAUGGAGCGGUACUUAACCAGAAAGGGACGGCUAACUACGUGCCAGCAGCCGCGGUAAUUC